rnacentral:rRNA from 1 species
AUUGAACGCUGGCGGCAGGCUUAACACAUGCAAGUCGAACGAUGAUUAUCUAGCUUGCUAGAUAUGAUUAGUGGCGGACGGGUGAGUAACAUUUAGGAAUCUGCCUAGUAGUGGGGGAUAGCUCGGGGAAACUCGAAUUAAUACCGCAUACGACCUACGGGUGAAAGGGGGCGCAAGCUCUUGCUAUUAGAUGAGCCUAAAUCAGAUUAGCUAGUUGGUGGGGUAAAGGCCCACCAAGGCGACGAUCUGUAACUGGUCUGAGAGGAUGAUCAGUCACACCGGAACUGAGACACGGUCCGGACUCCUACGGGAGGCAGCAGUGGGGAAUAUUGGACAAUGGGGGCAACCCUGAUCCAGCCAUGCCGCGUGUGUGAAGAAGGCCUUUUGGUUGUAAAGCACUUUAAGCAGGGAGGAGAGGCUAAUGGUUAAUACCCAUUAGAUUAGACGUUACCUGCAGAAUAAGCACCGGCUAACUCUGUGCCAGCAGCCGCGGUAAUACAGAGGGUGCGAGCGUUAAUCGGAAUUACUGGGCGUAAAGCGAGUGUAGGUGGCUCAUUAAGUCACAUGUGAAAUCCCCGGGCUUAACCUGGGAACUGCAUGUGAUACUGGUGGUGCUAGAAUAUGUGAGAGGGAAGUAGAAUUCCAGGUGUAGCGGUGAAAUGCGUAGAGAUCUGGAGGAAUACCGAUGGCGAAGGCAGCUUCCUGGCAUAAUAUUGACACUGAGAUUCGAAAGCGUGGGUAGCAAACAGGAUUAGAUACCCUGGUAGUCCACGCCGUAAACGAUGUCUACUAGCCGUUGGGGUCCUUGAGACUUUAGUGGCGCAGUUAACGCGAUAAGUAGACCGCCUGGGGAGUACGGCCGCAAGGUUAAAACUCAAAUGAAUUGACGGGGACCCGCACAAGCGGUGGAGCAUGUGGUUUAAUUCGAUGCAACGCGAAGAACCUUACCUGGUCUUGACAUAGUGAGAAUCCUGCAGAGAUGCGGGAGUGCCUUCGGGAAUUCACAUACAGGUGCUGCAUGGCUGUCGUCAGCUCGUGUCGUGAGAUGUUGGGUUAAGUCCCGCAACGAGCGCAACCCUUUUCCUUAUUUGCCAGCGGGUUAAGCCGGGAACUUUAAGGAUACUGCCAGUGACAAACUGGAGGAAGGCGGGGACGACGUCAAGUCAUCAUGGCCCUUACGACCAGGGCUACACACGUGCUACAAUGGUAGGUACAGAGGGUUGCUACACAGCGAUGUGAUGCUAAUCUCAAAAAGCCUAUCGUAGUCCGGAUUGGAGUCUGCAACUCGACUCCAUGAAGUCGGAAUCGCUAGUAAUCGCAGAUCAGAAUGCUGCGGUGAAUACGUUCCCGGGCCU